rnacentral:lncRNA from 1 species
ACUAUUUCAGAAAGCUGCCACAGGCCCUGUCUGGGGCAUCCUCAGACGUCAGCAUCUCAAGGCAGCACAGGUGACAGGCUCUCUGCAAAGAGAAAGGAAUUUGUUCAUUGUCAUUGCUGAAGCCCUUGACUUGGACACUGUGCAGCUGGCAGAUCCUAGACCCUCCCAGAAAUGAGCAUCUCUGAUCCUCCCUGCAGUCAAGGCUACAGACAAGAACGCAGUGAGUUUGCCAAGCCUGGGGGGUGGUGGCUCAGGAGCACUGCAGACUCACUCAGCAGGGUGGCUGCCUCAGUGUUCCCAUCUGAAAAAGGGGAACAGGUAAGACGGCUCAGAUUAUUUCAGAGGUGCUUCUAGCAGUGACCUCCUGCCAAGCUGGCUUUUGGAAGAUGUGUUAAGUCUGUGGUUUCACAGGACAUGUUGCCACUUUCUCCUCGGAAGGCAGCAAGAGCCUCAGCAUCAGAGAAGGGACACUGUAGGUGCAAGGGGUGUAGGACCUGUGAACACUACGUCUUUGCCUCAGAUCUUCCCUCCGGACCUGCUCCUCGCCUUAUCCCACACCCUGGGGUCCCGGCUCUCUCCUGUGGCAGAUCCUGGCUUACUCCUGCUUCUCCAGGAAGUGGUUCUCCUUCCUUCUGCAGCGGCCAUAUCCAAAGGUCUUGCAGAUCCUGGAGCUGGUGUUGAAGAAGGACCUGAGAAGGAAAGUUCCGGGUAGAAGGCAGGUGGUGGGGCUCCAGAGACACAGGAGGGUCAAUAAGAGGAUGGUCAUCACAGCGGUCUACACGGCAAGCAGCAGAAACAACUGGCAUGGCCAAGCGUGGUGACUCACACCUGUAGUCCCAGCACUUUGGGAGGCCGAGGUGGGUGGAUCAUCUGAGGUCAGGAGUUUGAGACCAGCCUGACCAACAUGGAGAAACCCCGCCUCUACUAAAAAUACAAAAAUUAACCAGGUGUGGUGGCAUGUGUCUGUAGUCCCAGCUACUCGAGAGGCUGAGGCAGGAGAAUUGCUUGAACCUGGGAGGCAGAGGUUGCAGUGAGCCGAGAUCACGGUACUGCACUACAGCCUGGGCAACAGAAUGAGACUUUACCUCAAAAAAAAAAAAAAAAAAAAAAAAAAAAGUCCACCUGGUGCCCCUGGCUUCAUCACCAAUGGGCUUACCAUGGCCACACGGGUCCUCUUUCAGGCCCUUGUGUCACUCUCUCCCAUGCUGACCAGCUCUGGCCACAAAGCUGCCUCUUCCAUCACUGGGAGCUCUUCCCUACCUCGGAGCUGUUUCCGUCACCUAGAAUGUCUUCCCUCCACAUUCCCGCCAGCUCCUUCUGCUCAGCCUAAAGGUCACUUUCUCACAGAAGCUGUCCCUGAGCCUCAAUCUAAAUUGCAUCCCCACAAGGACACAAAGAUGUGAACAAUAAACACUAAGGAUUCCAGAAGCGGGGAGGGAGGAGAGCAAAGGUUGAAAAACUACCUGUUGGGUACUAUGUUCACUGCUUGGGCGACGGGAUCAUUAGAAGCCCAAACCUCAGCAUCAUGCAAUACAUCCGUGCAACAAACCUGCACACGUACUUUCUGAAUCUAAAAGAAUUUUUAAAAUAAGAAAAUAAAUUGUACCCCCUUAGUUCUUUCUGAGUGCCCUCUUUUUAUCUUUAUAACACUAUAAUUUGUAUUUAUGGGAUGAUUAUGCAUCAUUAUUUGGUAAAUGACCUCACCAGCUAGACUCUAAAUCAGAAAGGGCUGGGGCUGUAUCUGACAUAUUCUCAGUUGUGUCAGCAGCACCUAGCACAGCAUCUAACAUAAAUGAUACUUAUUUGUGGUUUGGCUUAA